UGGGGAAUAUUGCACAAUGGGGGAAACCCUGAUGCAGCGACGCCGCGUGAGCGAAGAAGGCUUUCGAGUCGUAAAGCUCUGUCCUAUGAGAAGAUAAUGACGGUAUCAUAGGAGGAAGCCCUGGCUAAAUACGUGCCAGCAGCCGCGGUAAUACGUAUGGGGCGAGCGUUGUCCGGAAUUAUUGGGCGUAAAGGGUACGUAGGUGGUUUUUUAAGUCAGGUGUCAAAGCUUGGAGCUUAACUCCAUUAAGCACUUGAAACUGAAAGACUUGAGUGAAGGAGAGGAAAGUGGAAUUCCUAGUGUAGCGGUGAAAUGCGUAGAUAUUAGGAGGAAUACCGGUGGCGAAGGCGACUUUCUGGACUUUUACUGACGCUCAGGUACGAAAGCGUGGGGAGCAAACAGG
rnacentral:rRNA from 1 species